rnacentral:misc_RNA from 1 species
GCCAUAUGUAAUUGAUGAAGGAUCUCAAUCGAUGUUGUAGAUUUAUUUGAUUUUAUGUCUUUUUAUUGAAUCAUAUUUAGUUUUUGUAACUGUAAUUAUAUGUAGUCGUGCAACUCAUAAUUAAAAGGCCUCCCAUGAAAAAAAAAAUUAUAUCAAGAUUUUUUUUAAUGAAAUUUUUCUUAAAGCUUUUAAUAAAAUAUGAUACUCCACAAAAUACUGCAUCCUUGAGAAGGCAAUAUUGAAAUUUCUCUCCUUGCUAACCUAAAGGAAAUCAUUCAUAUACCUGACUCUAAGUAGUACUAGUUUAUCGCUAAACUAUUAAACUUCGAUUGAGUUGGACAAAACUUGCUGUAAAUCUUGUUGAAUUUGCCUAGUUCCUU